ACUUGACCUCAAAUCAGGUAGGACUACCCGCCUGAACUUAA
rnacentral:rRNA from 1 species